UACGUAGGGUGCAAGCGUUAAUCGGAAUUACUGGGCGUAAAGCGUGCGCAGGCGGUUUUGUAAGUCUGUCGUGAAAGCCCCGGGCUCAACCUGGGAAUUGCGAUGGAGACUGCAAGGCUUGAAUCUGGCAGAGGGGGGUAGAAUUCAACGUGUAGCAGUGAAAUGCGUAGAGAUGUGGAGGAACACCGAUGGCGAAGGCAGCCCCCUGGGUCAAGAUUGACGCUCAUGCACGAAAGCGUGGGGAGCAAACAGG
rnacentral:rRNA from 1 species